rnacentral:rRNA from 1 species
UACGUAGGGCGCAAGCGUUAUCCGGAAUUAUUGGGCGUAAAGAGCUCGUAGGCGGUUUGUCGCGUCUGCCGUGAAAGUCCGGGGCUCAACUCCGGAUCUGCGGUGGGUACGGGCAGACUAGAGUGAUGUAGGGGGAGACUGGAAUUCCAGGUGUAGCGGUGAAAUGCGUAGAGUAUCUGGAGGAACACCGGUGGCGAAGGCGGCAUCCUGGACCGAUAUUGACGCUGAGGAGCGAAAGCCAGGGGAGCAAAGCGGGG